rnacentral:rRNA from 1 species
UUUUAUGGAGAGUUUGAUCCUGGCUCAGGAUGAACGCUGGCGGCGUGCCUAAUACAUGCAAGUCGAGCGAACAGACGAGGAGCUUGCUCCUCUGACGUUAGCGGCGGACGGGUGAGUAACACGUGGAUAACCUACCUAUAAGACUGGGAUAACUUCGGGAAACCGGAGCUAAUACCGGAUAAUAUAUUGAACCGCAUGGUUCAAUAGUGAAAGACGGUUUUGCUGUCACUUAUAGAUGGAUCCGUGCCGCAUUAGCUAGUUGGUAAGGUAACGGCUUACCAAGGCAACGAUGCGUAGCCGACCUGAGAGGGUGAUCGGCCACACUGGAACUGAGACACGGUCCAGACUCCUACGGGAGGCAGCAGUAGGAAUC